rnacentral:lncRNA from 1 species
GGAAGAGACGCAGCACCGCGCAUGCUCCUUCCUUUCCAGCCCCGGUACCGGACCCUGCAGCCGCAGAGGUCUGGAGGGUGAGCGACCUGCGAGACUCACAAGAGGGGAAGCUGACAGAGAUACCUACAGACGGAGUGCUGUGCCACCUGGUGCCGACAAGAAAGCCGAGGCUGGGGCUGGGUCAGCAACCGAAUUCCAGUUUAGAGGCGGAUUUGGUCGUGGACGUGGUCAGCCACCUCAGUAAAAUUGGAGAGGAUUCUUUUGCAUUGAAUAAACUUACAGCCAAAAAACCUU